CUACGUGCCAGCAGCCGCGGUAAUACGUAGGUGGCAAGCGUUGUCCGGAAUUAUUGGGCGUAAAGCGCGCGCAGGCGGAUCAGUUAGUCUGUCUUAAAAGUUCGGGGCUUAACCCCGUGAUGGGAUGGAAACUGCUGAUCUAGAGUAUCGGAGAGGAAAGUGGAAUUCCUAGUGUAGCGGUGAAAUGCGUAGAUAUUAGGAAGAACACCAGUGGCGAAGGCGACUUUCUGGACGAAAACUGACGCUGAGGUGCGAAAGCCAGGGGAGCGAACGGGAUUAGAUACCCCGGUAGUCCUGGCCGUAAACGAUGGGUACUAGGUGUAGGAGGUAUCGACCCCUUCUGUGCCGGAGUUAACGCAAUAAGUACCCCGCCUGGGGAGUACGACCGCAAGGUUGAAACUCAAAGGAAUUGACGGGGGCCCGCACAAGCGGAGGAACAUGUGGUUUAAUUCGACGCAACGCGAAGAACCUUACCAGGUCUUGACAU
rnacentral:rRNA from 1 species